rnacentral:rRNA from 1 species
CACUCCUGCGGGAGGCAGCAGUGGGGAAUUUUGGACAAUGGGGGCAACCCUGAUCCAGCAAUGCCGCGUGAGUGAAGAAGGCCUUCGGGUUGUAAAGCUCUUUUGUCAGGGAAGAAACGGUGGUGGCGAAUAACUACUACUAAUGACGGUACCUGAAGAAUAAGCACCGGCUAACUACGUGCCAGCAGCCGCGGUAAUACGUAGGGUGCAAGCGUUAAUCGGAAUUACUGGGCGUAAAGCGUGCGCAGGCGGUUGUGUAAGUCAGAUGUGAAAUCCCCGGGCUCAACCUGGGAAUUGCAUUUGAGACUGCACGGCUAGAGUGUGUCAGAGGGGGGUAGAAUUCCACGUGUAGCAGUGAAAUGCGUAGAUAUGUGGAGGAAUACCGAUGGCGAAGGCAGCCCCCUGGGAUAACACUGACGCUCAUGCACGAAAGCGUGGGGAGCAAACAGGAUUAGAAACCCGUGUAGUCC